rnacentral:rRNA from 1 species
AUGUCUCAGUACAAGCCUAAUUAAGGUGAAACCGCGAAAGGCUCAUUAAAUCAGUUAUGGUUCCUUAGAUCGUACCCACAUUUACUUGGAUAACUGUGGUAAUUCUAGAGCUAAUACAUGCCAAUAGAGCUCCGACCCCUUACGGAAGGAGUGCUUUUAUUAGAUCAAAACCAAUCGGUGGCGGGUUCGCCCGUCAUCGCCCAGCCUGGUGACUCUGAAUAACUUUACGCUGAUCGCACGGUCUUGCACCGGCGACGCAUCUUUCAAAUGUCUGCCUUAUCAACUGUCGAUGGUAGGUUCUGCGCCUACCAUGGUUGUAACGGGUAACGGGGAAUCAGGGUUCGAUUCCGGAGAGGGAGCCUGAGAAACGGCUACCACAUCCAAGGAAGGCAGCAGGCGCGCAAAUUACCCACUCCCGGCACGGGGAGGUAGUGACGAAAAAUAACGAUACGGGACUCAUCCGAGGCCCCGUAAUCGGAAUGAGUACACUCUAAACCCUUUAACGAGGAUCAAUUGGAGGGCAAGUCUGGUGCCAGCAGCCGCGGUAAUUCCAGCUCCAAUAGCGUAUAUUAAAGUUGUUGCGGUUAAAAAGCUCGUAGUCGGAUCUGUGUCUCGCGCCGCCGGUUCAUCGUCCGCGGUGUUAACUGGCGUGUCGUGAGACGUAUUGCCGGUGGGCUUAGCCUUUCGGGGCGGCCCAACUAAUCCCGCCGCGGUGCUCUUCAUUGAGUGUCGAGGUAGGCCGGCACGUUUACUUUGAACAAAUUAGAGUGCUUAAAGCAGGCUAAAACUUCGCCUGAAUAUUGUGUGCAUGGAAUAAUGGAAUAGGACCUCGGUUCUAUUUUGUUGGUUUUCGGAACCCCGAGGUAAUGAUUAAUAGGAACGGAUGGGGGCAUUCGUAUUGCGA